ACUGAACGCUGGCGGCAGGCCUAACACAUGCAAGUCGAGCGAGCAUUUCGGUGCUAGCGGCGGACGGGUGAGUAACGCGUGGGAACGUGCCCUUUUCUGCGGAAUAGUCCUGGGAAACUGGGGGUAAUACCGCAUACGCCCUUUUGGGGAAAGAUUUAUCGGAGAAGGAUCGGCCCGCGUUGGAUUAGGUAGUUGGUGGGGUAAUGGCCCACCAAGCCGACGAUCCAUAGCUGGUUUGAGAGGAUGAUCAGCCACACUGGGACUGAGACACGGCCCAGACUCCUACGGGAGGCAGCAGUGGGGAAUCUUAGACAAUGGGGGCAACCCUGAUCUAGCCAUGCCGCGUGAGUGAUGAAGGCCUUAGGGCUGUAAAGCUCUUUCAGCUGGGAAGAUAAUGACGGUACCAGCAGAAGAAGCCCCGGCUAACUCCGUG
rnacentral:rRNA from 1 species